rnacentral:rRNA from 1 species
UACAGAGGUCUCAAGCGUUGUCCGGAUUUAUUGGGCGUAAAGAGCUCGUAGGCGGUUCCGUAAGUCGGAUGUGAAAACUCGGGCUCAACCCCGAGACGCCAUCCGAUACUGCGGUGACUUGAGUCUGGUAGGGGAACACGGAAUUCCUGGUGUAGCGGUGAAAUGCGCAGAUAUCAGGAGGAACACCGAUGGCGAAGGCAGUGUUCUGGGCCAGUACUGACGCUGGAGGAGCGAAAGCCGUGGGGAGCAAACAGGA